CAGCAGUGGGGAAUAUUGGACAAUGGGCGCAAGCCUGAUCCAGCCAUGCCGCGUGAGUGAUGAAGGCCCUAGGGUUGUAAAGCUCUUUUGUGCGGGAAGAUAAUGACGGUACCGCAAGAAUAAGCCCCGGCUAACUUCGUGCCAGCAGCCGCGGUAAUACGAAGGGGGCUAGCGUUGCUCGGAAUUACUGGGCGUAAAGGGUGCGUAGGCGGGUCUUUAAGUCAGAGGUGAAAUCCUGGAGCUCAACUCCAGAACUGCCUUUGAUACUGAGGAUCUUGAGUUCGGGAGAGGUGAGUGGAACUGCGAGUGUAGAGGUGAAAUUCGUAGAUAUUCGCAAGAACACCAGUGGCGAAGGCGGCUCACUGGCCCGAUACUGACGCUGAGGCACGAAAGCGUGGGGAGCAAACAGGAUUAGA
rnacentral:rRNA from 1 species